rnacentral:tRNA from 1 species
CAGAAAGUAAUUUAAUAUAAAAUAUUAAUUUUGGAGAUUAAAAAUAGAAUGAUAAUUCUUUUUCUGA